GGAUGUGAGGGCCAUCUGGCUGCGACAUCUCUCACCCCAUCGAUCGCCAGGGUUGAUGCGGCUGAUCUGGCUGGCUAGGCGGGGGUGUCCUUCCUCCCUCACUGCCCCACGUGCGUCCCUCCAGAAGCUGAGCACUGUGUGGAAGAGGGCGACCUUCCCCGAAUAGACGAGGACUGGUCUUUGGUCAAGGGUGUAUGAGUAGCUGCUCUGCCCUGCUAGAACCUCCAAACAGGCUCUCAAGCAAUGUGGAGGUGAAUAAACCCUUUCCUCCCCAAUUUGCUUUUGGUCGUG
rfam:Cricetulus griseus cell line CHO-K1, whole genome shotgun sequence.